rnacentral:tRNA from 1 species
UAAUCUUUAGCUCAACUGGUAGAGCAGCUGACUUUUAAUCAGAAAGUUAUUAGUUCGAAUCUAAUAAGAUAAA